UACGUAGGGUGCGAGCGUUAAUCGGAAUUACUGGGCGUAAAGCGUGCGCAGGCGGUUGGUUAAGUCUGAUGUGAAAGCCCCGGGCUUAACCUGGGAAUGGCCAUGGAAACUGGCGAACUGGAGUGUGGCAGAGGGGGGUGGAAUUCCGCGUGUAGCAGUGAAAUGCGUAGAGAUGCGGAGGAACACCAGUGGCGAAGGCGGCUCACUGGUCCAUUACUGACGCUGAGGUGCGAAAGCGUGGGGAGCAAACAGG
rnacentral:rRNA from 1 species